rnacentral:rRNA from 1 species
UACGGGGGGAGCAAGCGUUGUUCGGAUUUACUGGGCGUAAAGGGCGCGUAGGCGGCAGGUCAAGUCGGGAGUGAAAGCCCGGGGCUCAACCCCGGAAUGUCUUUCGAAACUGGCCAGCUCGAGUGCGGAAGAGGCAACUGGAAUUCCCAGUGUAGCGGUGAAAUGCGUAGAUAUUGGGAAGAACACCUGAGGCGAAGGCGGGUUGCUGGGCCGACACUGACGCUGAGGCGCGAAAGCCAGGGGAGCAAACGGG